UUCAUCCAUUUAUGUUCUCCUUUCAUAAUUACAGGCAAAGGAAGUGGUUCACGAAGUGACUGGUAUAAAGAUGAGUCCUGGUGGUACCCAAGGCUUGGUGAGAAUGAAGGGUGAAUGACUUCUGUAACCCAAGAGGAGGACGGAGGAGAACAGAAGAGGAGCUCCAGAUCAUAGGCAAAGCUAAGCCCUAAAACAGGUGGCAAGGUGGGUGUGGACCAGUGAGUACCACACUUUCCUGUCAAGCACAGGAUGGUGUGAAUUUCCUCCC
rnacentral:lncRNA from 1 species